rnacentral:rRNA from 1 species
GACGAACGCUGGCGGCGUGCUUAACACAUGCAAGUCGAACGGAAAGGCCCUGCUUUUGUGGGGUGCUCGAGUGGCGAGCGGGUGAGUAACACGUGAGUAACAUGCCCCUGACUUUGGGAUAACUUCAGGAAACUGGGGCUAAUACCGGAUAGGAGCUCCUGCUGCACGGUGGGGGUUGGAAAGUUUCGGCGGUUGGGGCUGGUCUGGAGGCUUAUCAGCUAGUUGGGGGGGUAGUGGCUUACCAAGGCUUUGAAGGGUAGCCCGCCUUGGAGGGUGACCGGCGUCAAUGGGACUGAGAGACGGCCCAGACUCCUACGUUAGGCAGCGGUGGGGAGUAUUGCACAGUGGGCGGAAGCCUGUUGCAGCAACGCCGCGUUCGGGAUGACGUCCUUCGGGUUGUAAACCGCUUUGGCCGGUAACGAAGCGUUAGUGACGGUAAUGGGUAAAGAAGCACCGGCUAACUACGUG